UGUCCAGGGGGCCGCCUUCGCCACCGGUAUUCCUCCAGAUCUCUACGCAUUUCACCGCUACACCUGGAAUUCUACCCCCCUCUACAAGACUCUAGCCUGCCAGUUUCGAAUGCAGUUCCCAGGUUGAGCCCGGGGAUUUCACAUCCGACUUGACAGACCGCCUGCGUGCGCUUUACGCCCAGUAAUUCCGAUUAACGCUUGCACCCUCCGUAUUACCGCGGCUGCUGGCACGGAGUUAGCCGGUGCUUCUUCUGCGGGUAACGUCAAUCGACAAGGUUAUUAACCUUAUCGCCUUCCUCCCCGCUGAAAGUACUUUACAACCCGAAGGCCUUCUUCAUACACGCGGCAUGGCUGCAUCAGGCUUGCGCCCAUUGUGCAAUAUUCCCCACUGCUGCCUCCCGUAGGAGUCUGGACCGUGUCUCAGUUCCAGUGUGGCUGGUCAUCCUCUCAGACCAGCUAGGGAUCGUCGCCUAGGUGAGCCGUUACCCCACCUACUAGCUAAUCCCAUCUGGGCACAUCUGAUGGCAAGAGGCCCGAAGGUCCCCCUCUUUGGUCUUGCGACGUUAUGCGGUAUUAGCUACCGUUUCCAGUAGUUAUCCCCCUCCAUCAGGCAGUUUCCCAGACAUUACUCACCCGUCCGCCGCUCGUCGGCCAAGAACAAGGUUACUGUGCUCU
rnacentral:rRNA from 1 species